rnacentral:rRNA from 1 species
CAGUCGCCACGGUAAUACGUAGGGUGCAAGCGUUAACCGGAAUUACUGGGCGUAAAGCGUGCGCAGGCGGUUCGCUAAGACAGAUGUGAAAUCCCCGGGCUUAACCUGGGAACUGCAUUUGUGACUGGCGGGCUAGAGUAUGGCAGAGGGGGGUAGGAUUCCACGUGUAGCAGUGAAAUGCGUAGAGAUGUGGAGGAAUACCGAUGGCGAAGGCAGCCCCCUGGGCCAAUACUGACGCUCAUGCACGAAAGCGUGGGGAGCAAACAGGAUUAGAUACCCCUGUAGUCCCUGUCUCUUAUAC